GACGAACGCUGGCGGCGUGCUUAACACAUGCAAGUCGAACGGUGAAGCGCCUUCCUUUUUGGUUGGCGUGGAGGAGCGGCGAACGGGUGAGUAACACGUUAGUAACCUGCCCCCUUCUUCUGGAUAACCGCAUGAAAGUGUGGCUAAUACGGGAUAUUCUGUGCCUGUCGCAUGAUGGGUUUGGGAAAGAUAUUGUUUCGGUGGGGGAUGGGCUCGCGGCCUAUCAGCUUGGUGGUGGGGUGGUGCCCUACCAAGGCGGUGACGGGUAGCUGGCCUGAGAGGAUUGACGGUCACACUGGGAGUAAAAGACCGACCAGACUCAUGCAGGAAGCAGCAGGGUGGAUUAGUGAACGAUGGGCGCAAGGCUGAUGCAGCGACGCCGCGGGGAAGAAGGCGUCCUUCGGGUUGAGCACCUCUUUCGCGAGAGAAGCAGGCCAGCCUAGUUUGUCGCUGGGUUGACGGUAGCUGAAGAAGAAGCGCCGGCUAACUACGUG
rnacentral:rRNA from 1 species